rnacentral:siRNA from 1 species
CGAUGAAUCUGCCCUCGCCCGCU